rnacentral:lncRNA from 1 species
GAGGAAGGGAGGGGGUGAGGACCCCUGCGGGUCGCCGUCUUGUUCGUAAGUCAAAAUGGCGGCGCCCUGUGAAGUUGCGGGAAGGAAGGCGCAGAUUCUGCCGUAACCUAAAAUGGCGGCGCCCAAACGGUGAAAAAUAGGGUGGCUCCUCUCAUCUCUCGCUCAGAUGCAAAAUGGCGCCCGCCACAGCUUUUCUCCGUAUUGCAAGAUGGCGCCGCCUCACUGCCGAAAGGCCUCUCGGUCAGUCCCGAAUGGUUGUCCCUCAGAGGUGGCCCUCACUUCUCCGGGGUUUUCCUGGGCAGAAAAGGGCCGAGAACCAGGUAGAGGGGUGCCGGGGCACCGCGGGCCGGGCAGCACAGCUCGGAGGCCGCCUGGAGCCCGCCCCUCCCCGCCGAGGACGCCGGCCUUCCCCAGCCGGCGGUUCCCGCCUUCCCGUUCCUGCCCGGCAGCCGCCUCACUGGCUGCUGAAGGCGGGAGAAGGGCUGAGGGCCCCGCUGCCAGCCCGCCCUUCCUUCCCGCCGCUGGGCCAGCCCCCGGGGCCUCCCGGCGCAGCGUUUGGCCGAGUAACACGUCUCCUUCCCUCACAGCCCCCGUUCCCCCGAGGGGGCGGGUAGCCCGGCCCCUCAGCGGCGCCCGGCCGGCCACUCCAGGCCCCUGCCGGCAUCGCUUUGGCUCGGCCUGCGUCGAAAAGGCCGUCUGUUUUCCCCACCCGGCGCCAUGGGGAGCUUAUUGGAGCGAACAGCGCUUUAAAGUGCACCCACCUCCCUGGUUUCCUCAGGUCCGGUCAGCCCUCGGCUUUCUUCUCGCCCCUGUCAGACAGUGCAGCUUGCCGGCGCGGUGCUGGACGGUGAAACCCACCCUGGCGGUGCUACGAUUUGACACAAGUAGAGCCGAGUGUCUUUUUCAUCAGUUUCCCCCAGAGAUUUCAGUGCUGGGAGCUUCAGGGGUGUAGGAGGUUACCUCAGGGUCUGUAACGCUAGCGGUAGGUACUCAGAAAUUGGGGGCUGGCGUGAA